rnacentral:lncRNA from 1 species
CGCCAUUUUCGGCGCCGAGGGGAGAGCGGCGGCUGGCGGAAGAAGAGCAGAGCAGCAGCAGCCGCCGCCGCGCCCCCUCCCCCACCCCGCCGGGCCGCGAGCAGGUACUGCCCCCUCCCGGGGCGUGGGCGUGGCCAGGCUGCUUCCCGGAAGGUGGCGUGAGCCGGAGCCGCUCGCUGGGGGCCAUGAGCGGAGCGUUAUGCCUCAUCCUACAAAUGGAGAUGAAUGCAUGUGACUGAUAGUGGU